rnacentral:rRNA from 1 species
AAAGGAAUAGACGGGCACCCGCACAAGCGGUGGAGCAUGCCGUUUAAUUCGAAAAUACGCGAAAAACCUUACCUAGACUUGACAUCCCCGGCGAAGCUAUGGAAACAUAGUGGAGGUUAACCGGGUGACAGGUGGUGCAUGGUUGUCGUCAGCUCGUGUCGUGAGAUGUUUGGUUAAGUCCAAUAACGAGCGCAACCCUCGUCUUUAGUUGCUAACAUUUAGUUGAGAACUCUAAAGAUACUGCCAGGGUAACCUGGAGGAAGGUGGGGAUGACGUCAAAUCAUCAUGCCCCUUACGUCUAGGGCUACAGGCGUGCUACAAUGGCCAGUACAACGAGUCGCAACACAGCGAUGUGAAGCUAAUCUCUUAAAGCUGGUCCCAGUUCGGAUUGGAGUCUGCAACUCGACUCCAUGAAGUCGGAAUCGCUAGUAAUCCCAAAUCAGCAUGUUGGGGUGAAUACGUUCCCGGGUGUUGUACACACCGCCCGU